CCUACGGGUGGCAGCAGUGGGGAAUAUUGGACAAUGGGGGGAACCCUGAUCCAGCCAUGCCGCGUGUGUGAAGAAGGCCCUCGGGUUGUAAAGCACUUUCAGUGAGGAAGAACGCCUGGUGGUUAAUACCCAUCAGGAAAGACAUCACUCACAGAAGAAGCACCGGCUAACUCCGUGCCAGCAGCCGCGGUAAUACGGAGGGUGCGAGCGUUAAUCGGAAUUACUGGGCGUAAAGCGCGCGUAGGUGGCUUGAUAAGCCGGUUGUGAAAGCCCCGGGCUCAACCUGGGAACGGCAUCCGGAACUGUCAAGCUAGAGUGCAGGAGAGGAAGGUAGAAUUCCCGGUGUAGCGGUGAAAUGCGUAGAGAUCGGGAGGAAUACCAGUGGCGAAGGCGGCCUUAUGGACUGACACUGACACUGAGGUGCGAAAGCGUGGGUAGCAAACAGGAUUAGAUACCCCUGUAGUC
rnacentral:rRNA from 1 species